UGAUAUGUUUGAUAUUGGGUUGUUUUUUUGAAAAAGCAACUAUAUAUUAGACAUAUUCCUC
rnacentral:pre_miRNA from 1 species